GGGGGGUGGUCAGAGCAAGGGGCCUCUCAAGAACGGCUUCAAUGUUUACCACACACCCAAGAGAAAUCUGGGGCCAUUGUAAUGAGGGGCACAACACUGUGUCCUCUCUGCUCUCUGGGCACAGUUCCCCUACAUGC